AAAUUUCCCUCUAUUAUGCAAUUAGCGCCUCUUGUACGCUGCCAAUUAGCGCCUCAUGUAGUUUCUCCUUCGCACAGUUCCAGAUUUCACGUAGUUUCUAGCUUUAUUCUCUGUUUCUUGGAUCUCAAACAUUUUUCUUGAUUCAUCUACCUUGGCGACCGAAUGUCGAUGCCUUUCUUGGAUCUCCUUAAUUCCGUGGAAAUUACUCAUGACCUUUAAUUUGGGUCUCCAUCAUAGGAAACCUAGGUCGCGAGUCCAUGUUUAGGCCAUCUUUAAUUUGUUCUCCCAAAUGCUUUAUUUUAUUUUUUUCUCGAUCUCAUGAAUAAGUUGUUCUGUUCGUUGUUGGAGGACUUGGUGGCCGGUGACGAGAAGUGACGGUGGAGUUGAUGACUAUAGCGCUUGCUUUCUCACCAAAUUGCAAGCAUGCUUACAGAUUUGGACUCUCAUUUAAUCAGCUUUUUGAGAAGGAGUGCUGGAAAUGGCUUCCACUUUGACGCAGAGCAGGAAACAGAGUCUGCGAUAGUUAUUAAUGGGUAGCAUUUGCAUUAUUUUAAUUCAAACCUUUGUAUACGUUCUGAGCUUCCCUGCAACAGUACAAACAUCCCUUUUUGUUCUUUUUCUACUCCAUCAAACUUGUAGUGUUUAGUAUAUUAAUGGCUGUAUCCAAAACAUAGGCUAUCCAUUUCGAUUAAUGGAGGAUCCACCAAACUGCGACGACCCAUCAUGUAAUAUUGUUAUUCAUGUCAUACUUCGAAUAAAAGAAAUUACAACUUGAUAUUGUUAUUCUGACUGAAAAUAUUAUGGGGAAAAUAAUGUUUCUUUUACGUUGGUUGUAAAACUGAAAAUGAUAAGAACUAAGCUACUUAACUAGACGUUGUUGUAUUUUGAUGCUGAGGAGCUAAUGUUAAUUCCUUUAAUUUGCAGCAAAAUCGUAGCUCUUGGCUUUGAUGAAAAAUUUAUAAGGACAAGGAAAUAUUACUUUGAAUAUUGUCCAGCUGGUUUUAAGUCUUGUACACUCGGAGUCUAUCAGGUAAUGAUUAAUGUUAUGUUUCAUGUAAAAUAAAUGUGUCAGGGGCCCGAAAUGAGGAUGCUUGCUUCUAAAAAUAUUACUUGUCAUUUCUCAGGCUUCUAUCCCUGGUAAUUUAAGCUGGUUGCAUCCAUUUUUUCACUCACCAUAUUUCCCAUUACUAAUUACUAUGGUUUUCUUGAGCUGUGAAAAGCAAGUGAAUACAUCCUUUUAUUGGAACGAUUCAACUUAUUGCUUUAAGACCAAAGUAUAUUCUUCCAACUCUUCAUCGUCUUCCCAUGAUAUGCAUAGAUAUGUUAAAUAUCUAGAUAGACCUCCAUAUCCAGGGCAGGUGGAGGAAUCUUGUCGAAUAGAGCAAAUAUCCCUAAUAUCGAGGGAAGGCCGUCAAUAUAUCCAAAAACUGCUUCCUGCGAAGAGAUUCGCAACGAAUUGUUAUGCGGUUUUAAGUUUAAUUGGCUACAUGUUUCUUGUCAAUGCGAGGGACCCAACAAUUGCUACCUCGAUGACGUGAAUAAAAUUUAAUGUGAUAAUGGAUUUUUCAAAGGACUGGCGGACGUAUACAAAGGAUUGGUGGACGUAUACAAUGCAUUCAAAAUUCCAAAUCUAUGAUGGGCGCACUUUGAGAAAUUCUUAUGUCAUGCCUUCUCACCUUCCAGCUGGUGGAGUUAUUGGAUCAAUCUUAGUGGUCGUUUGCUUGUUUUGGGUUGGUCUGGUAGAAGAACUACCCAUGAAAGAAAUGUUCGGAAAGCUAACGACAAACACAAUGUAAAGUAAAAUAAUUAUCCAUGAAGAAGAGCUUUCAUGUAAUGUGAUUUGUGUUACAUUAUUAUUAUUAUUAUAUGAAUAAUGAUCCAUUAUAUCA